GAUGAAGAACGCAGCGAAAUGCGAUAAGUAAUGCGAAUUGCAGAAUUCCGUGAGUCAUCGAAUCUUUGAACGCACAUUGCGCCCUUUGGCAUUCCGAAGGGCAUGCCUGUUCGAGCGUCAUUUAUCAACCCUCAAGCCCGGCUUGCGGUUGGGUCCCGCCGUGGGCGACCACGGCGGACCCGAAAGGUAAUGGCGGUGCCCGUGGGGCCCUGGACGUAGCGAGCUUCUCGGCACGCGUCCCGGCGGUCCCCGGCGCCGUCUCCACCAAUCCACCACGCAGAUUGACCUCGGAUCAGGUAGGGAUACCCGCUGAACUUAAGCAUAUCAAUAAGCGGAGGA
rnacentral:misc_RNA from 1 species